UAGGGAAUCUUCCACAAUGGGCGCAAGCCUGAUGGAGCAACACCGCGUGAGUGAAGAAGGGUUUCGGCUCGUAAAGCUCUGUUGUUAAAGAAGAACACGUAUGAGAGUAACUGUUCAUACGUUGACGGUAUUUAACCAGAAAGUCACGGCUAACUACGUCNCG
rnacentral:rRNA from 1 species